rnacentral:rRNA from 1 species
CUACGGGAUGCACCAGUGGGGAAUAUUGGACAAUGGGGGAAACCCUGAUCCAGCAAUGCCGCGUGUGUGAAGAAGGCCUGCGGGUUGUAAAGCACUUUCGGUUGGGAGGACUGCUUCUAGCACUAAUAUUGUUGGAAGUUGACGUUACCUUCAGAAGAAGCACCGGCUAACUCCGUGCCAGCAGCCGCGGUAAUACGGAAGGUGCAAGCGUUAAUCGGAAUUACUGGGCGUAAAGCGCGCGUAGGCGGCUAGAUCAGUCGGGUGUGAAAGCCCCGGGCUUAACCUGGGAACUGCAUCCGAUACUGUCUAGCUUGAGUACAGGAGAGGAGAGUGGAAUUCCACAUGUAGCGGUGAAAUGCGUAGAUAUGUGGAGGAACACCAAUGGCGAAGGCAGCUCUCUGGCCUGAUACUGACGCUGAGGUGCGAAAGCGUGGGGAGCAAACAGGAUUAGAUACCCCUGUAGUC